rnacentral:rRNA from 1 species
AUUGAACGCUGGCGGCAUGCUUUACACAUGCAAGUCGAACGGCAGCGCGGGCUUCGGCCUGGCGGCGAGUGGCGAACGGGUGAGUAAUGCAUCGGAACGUGCCCUGUAGUGGGGGAUAGCCCGGCGAAAGCCGGAUUAAUACCGCAUACGACCUGAGGGGGAAAGCGGGGGACCGAAAGGCCUCGCGCUAUUGGAGCGGCCGAUGUCGGAUUAGCUAGUUGGUGGGGUAAAGGCUUACCAAGGCGACGAUCCGUAGCUGGUCUGAGAGGACGACCAGCCACACUGGGACUGAGACACGGCCCAGACUCCUACGGGAGGCAGCAGUGGGGAAUUUUGGACAAUGGGGGCAACCCUGAUCCAGCCAUGCCGCGUGCGGGAAGAAGGCCUUCGGGUUGUAAACCGCUUUUGUUCGGGAAGAAAUCCUCUGGGCUAAUACCCCGGGGGGAUGACGGUACCGGAAGAAUAAGCACCGGCUAACUACGUG